rnacentral:lncRNA from 1 species
UUGGCCUCCGAAAACUAUGUUUGAACAAACCAGGUUCGGCCACCGAACCUCAAGUUCGGCCGCCGAACAUGGGGGUGUUUUGCAUGCACGUUAGGCCGCCGAAAGAGGUUCGGCUGGCCACCUAUAAAAGCCCCUCAGACCGAAAAUGGGCGAGAUUUCUCCCCAUUCUCGAGCUCAGGUGUGUUCAUGUCCUCCUUUGAUCAUUUUCAUGUUUUCUCUUCAUCUCCUUCAUAUUUUUAUGAGUUCCAUGGUUGUUUUGAAGAGUUUUCAAGCUUAGAUCAAAGUUUUGGGAGCUUGGAGACCCAAGAAGUAGCUUCCUCCCAUCUCCGAGUUAGAGCUCGCACAAACCCUC